rnacentral:tRNA from 1 species
UGGCUCAGUUGGUAGAGCAGAACACUUGUAAUGCCCAAGUUUUGGGUUCAAUUCCCAC